CAGCUGCAGAGCAGGACAGACCAGAUUGGCCAGUACAACAGCAGAGGGCCAUGUUGGGCUUUGACUCAGGAAUCCUGGUGGAGGCAAUGAUGAGAGAGAAGAGAUAAAACACACUAGUUUCUAUCAAUCCAUCUUAGCAGCAGAGCCAAGUGUUAGAGUUAUUGCUGCCUGAGUUAUAACAGCUGCCCUGGGAAUCUUGUCUGAACAACAAGUUAACUGCUGUUCCCAGUUAUAUCUGGUCUUUCCCACCCCCAAACAUACACAAAAGAUUUUUGUCAUUCUUGGCACUGGACAACAGAAGUGAUAAGACAUGCCAGCAGAACUCUAAAGGCAGAAUGUCCUUCCACCUGUUUUAUGCUGUAAGACAAACUUCCAAGUGCGAGGCAGUGUGGAGGGCUGUUGCCUUGAAUGGCAGCUGAAUGCACCAGCGGGAUCCUUGGCAGCAAUGCCCAGGCACUGAAGUCGGGCAUUCAGGAGAGCUAAAUGGAGAAAAGAAACUUGAGCAAACUGCUUCCUGGAACACUGAGAACCUGAAUGGGAAAUUAAGAAGAACCAGAUUCUUUCUAUUCUUCCACCAGCCAAGGUGAUGAGCACAAAAGGAUCCAUCUUAUACAGUGCUUGCCAGCUUCCAUAAUACUACUCACCACGAUGUUGAAAUCACCUGUUCCAGAACCAGUCCUGUCCUUUGACAAGAAGGAUUUAAUUAUCAGUAGUGGUGGGGACUGGCUGGAGAGAGGAAAAACACUUCAAGGACUCUGCCACCUUUCGUAGAUGGAGAGUGCAAAGUUUGUACCAUGGAACUCCUUCUCUAACAGUUACUCUGUGGCAGUGCCUAUUUCAAACCUCCCUUAACUUCUGAUUGUAUAGAUGUUUGUUUCAUUUGUUCAUCUGUUUGUUCACUUAGUCAGAGAUGUUUUAAGCCUUAAGAGAAAUAGUGGACUAGAAAAUGCCUUGGAAAAGUACAAAGUUCAAUCCAAGUAAACUGUUUUUAAACUAGGAAUUUAUGAAGCCUAAAAUAUAAAAUGUAUAUACAUGGAUAUGCUCUGAAGUGAGGUAGAGGGGUAGAAAUCAACAUUGUGAUAUUGUACUAUAGUUUUGCAAGAUGUUACCAUUGGGGGAAAAUGUUUGAAGGGUAUACGGGAUAUCUCUGCCUUAUUUCUUACAACUGCAUGUGAAUCUACAGUUAUCUCAAAAUAAAAAUUUAAUUAACAAUUGAU
rnacentral:lncRNA from 1 species